GACGAACGCUGGCGGCGUGCUUAACACAUGCAAGUCGAACGGAAAGGCCCUGCUUUUGUGGGGUUCUCGAGUGGCGAACGGGUGAGUAACACGUGAGUAACCUGCCCUUGACUUUGGGAUAACUUCAGGAAACUGGGGCUAAUACCGCAUAGGAGCUCCUGCUGCAUGGUGGGGGUUGGAAAGUUUCGGCGGUUGGGGAUGGACUCGCGGCUUAUCAGCUUGUUGGUGGGGUAGUGGUUUACCAAGGCUUUGACGGCUAGCCGGCCUGAGAGGGUGACCGGCGACAAGAGGCCUGAGGGACGGAGCAGUCUGGUACGGGAGGCAGCAGGGGGAAAUAUUGCGCAAUGGGGGGGAGUCAGAUGCGGAGACGCCGCGUGCGGGAUGAUGGCCUUCGGGUUGUAAACCGCUUUCGCCUGUGACGAAGCGUGAGUGACGGUAAUGGGUAAAGAAGCACCGGCUAACUACGUG
rnacentral:rRNA from 1 species